UUCCCUUUAAAUUCUCCAGCUCCACAACUCAAUCUCAUCAAUUUUCCAUCCCAACUUAUUCCUUCCGCCGCCGCUCAAAUUUAUUUCUUUCGCCUCUAGUGUUUUACAUCCAAUGAAACUUGAUUUCUUUGUUUAAUCUUUUCCAAUUUUGUUUCAAAAACUUCCGGCAAUUUUCUGUAUCGCCAAUGAGGAAGAAAUCCCAAGAAUAGGAAGUGCCGUAUGACACAUUAAAACGCAGCAUUUUCGCGCCGUCCGCCGCUUCCUUCCACCGCCGUCGAUUCUAUGUCUAUGUGACAUCAGAAUUGUUCGUCGGUCGGUUGCGUUCGCCGUCGCUGCUGCUUGGUUGAUUUGAAACGGGACUCUGAGGUUAUUUGAUUACUUUUUCUUGUUUCAUAUACCUUAUUUUUUUCAUCCGCCGACGGUUCGAUGCCACGUNAGCUCGCCGACGCCGCGCUGGAAGGAGACGAUGUCGCCGGCGUCUAGCUUCUUCUCCUUGACGAAGUGGGACCAGCCCUUGGUCAUCACGUAGCUCUGGCUGCUGUUCCAGUAGGAGUAGCGAAACCGCCAUGACUUCCCAUUCCGGUCCUUGAAAUUCAGCAGCAAACCCUUCUCGUUUGUGGACGUACGAGUCCAGUGGGAAGAGAGAGAGAGAUUGGGGUGUGAGAGAGAGACGUGCCGAUUCCGGCUGCCACGUCAAUAUUCGGUCGCCGAAAUUCAAAAUUGUGUCAAAAUUGAACAACUUCUUAAAUUGGUGUAUUAAAAUGUAAAAUCCUAAGUUUGCGUUAAAUUUGAAUUUUUGGCAAAGUUUGUGUAUUUAGGUGCAAUUUUCCCUAUUUACAAUGCAAGCGUUAAAUAUGCAGCAUUUUACUAGAAACAAGGUGGCAAAUUUGGAGAGACAGGAAGUUGGCAUUUGGAGAAGAGAAAGGACCUUGUUCCGAUUUGUAGAGGAUGGGUGAUGGGUGGGUUUGAGGAACCUAAUUUUUACAGGUACCGACAUUGUGAUCCGCAAUCACAGACAUUGCUGCAAGCUAGCAGGAAAGAUGAAUGGGUGGGUGAAGGAGAUUAUGGGAAUGAGUCAAGGACCUUGGUUUUGGUCGUCUUCAACUACAAAGUCCCUUGCGCUGCAACUGCAAGUCUGAUUUUGUAAUAUCACUAAAGAAAGGGACUAUUUUGCACAAGGACUAUAAUAUUUGGGCUAUUUUGCAUUUUCCCACAUAACGCAAACCCUAAAACGAGCCCCCGCCGCUCUAUCCUCCCCCAAACCCUUUAACCAUUCCCUUUAAAUUCUCCAGCUCCACAACUCAAUCUCAUCAAUUUUCCAUCCCAACUUAUUCCUUCCGCCGCCGCUCUUUGUUUAAUCCUUUCCAAUUUUGUUUCAAAAACUUCCGGCAAUUUUCUGUAUCGCCAAUGAGGAAGAAAUCCCAAGAAUAGGAAGUGCCGUAUGACACAUUAANCUCAUCAAUUUUCCAUCCCAACUUAUUCCUUCCGCCGCCGCUCUUUGUUUAAUCCUUUCCAAUUUUGUUUCAAAAACUUCCGGCAAUUUUCUGUAUCGCCAAUGAGGAAGAAAUCCCAAGAAUAGGAAGUGCCGUAUGACACAUUAAAACGCAGCAUUUUCGCGCCGUCCGCCGCUUCCUUCCACCGCCGUCGAUUCUAUGUCUAUGUGACAUCAGAAUUGUUCGUCGGUCGGUUGCGUCGCCGUCGCUGCUGCUUGGUUGAUUUGAAACGGGACUCUGAGGUUAUUUGAUACUUUUUCUUGUUUCAUAUACCUUGUUUUUUUCAUCCGCCGACGGUUCGAUGCCACGUCGCUGGUAGCAACGGCUAUGACCGGCGAUGUCAUGAUUGAACCAAAACCAAACUCUUUCGCAUCUUGAUAGGAACCUGUGGAUCGAUUUUUACCGUUCGUUCACGGAGCCGUUUUGUGCGAUUACAUUUUAAUUCGAAUUUAUUUAAUUUUCAAAUUGAAAACUAGCACCAUUUUUUUGUAUGAAUUGUGGCCAAUGAGGAUUAAAACAUAUUUAUAUAUCUGGAAUUACCGUCUGAAUAUCUCUUGAUGUGUUAGAUCGACUAUCUGAGGCCUCCUUUUAUAAAAAAUAAGGAUUUGCUAAGAAUUUUAAAAAUAAUUAUGUUUUCUUCGUUUCCUGAAAGUGAUAUUCUUGAAAUUUUCGGAAUAAGCCAAUUUGCAGAGCAAGGACGUCGAUUUUAUAUCAAUGACGAAAACUUGCAUUGAAGGUUGGCAAUAUCGAAGCGAUUCUCCGUGCCUUUCAUCUCUUUUGGGUUUUGAUUGCGGCCUCGAACAAAUCGCUACAUUUUUUAAAAUUUGUUUUACUUAUUGCGAUUUUAUUUAAUAAUAAUGUUGUUUUAAAGAUUAAUACGUCAUACUAUCUCAAUUUAUAUUCCUCAUCUUCUGAGAUAUAGUAUAUGGUUUAAGUCAUUUUGAUUUUGGAUUGGUCUGUUUAACCAUUCAUUGUUCUAUUUCAAGAUUUUGUAUUUAAGUUAAAAUAUUGUCUGUUCUUGCAUUCAGAUGAUCGCGUAGUGUAGUUUGUUUGAAGUGAAAUGCGUAAGAGAUGAACCAUGAGAAUGGAUUUGGAUGGCUGUGUAGAAACGAAGCCCUCGUUAAUGUGAUGGGUGUGAGAAGAUGGGUGAAAUCGAGACGAGGAUGUUCCUAGGUUGAUGUCAUUAUUUGAAACCAACGAUUUGGCUUCAAGAAUCAUGACAACUCCGGAGGAGGAGCUGUCCGUUGACGUUACAGCAGCGAGGCCUAUUUAAAACUUCCUGACUUGAUUUGUUGG
rnacentral:lncRNA from 1 species